rnacentral:rRNA from 1 species
AACGAACGCUGGCGGCAUGCCUAACACAUGCAAGUCGAACGAAGGCUUCGGCCUUAGUGGCACACGGGUGCGUAACGCGUGGGAAUCUGCCCCUUGGUUCGGGAUAACAGUUGGAAACGACUGCUAAUACCGGAUGAUAUCGCGAGAUCAAAGAUUUAUCGCCAGGGGAUGAGCCCGCGUCGGAUUAGCUAGUUGGUGGGGUAAAGGCCUACCAAGGCGACGAUCCGUAGCUGGUCUGAGAGGAUGAUCAGCCACACUGGGACUGAGACACGGCCCAGACUCCUACGGGAGGCAGCAGUGGGGAUAUUGGACAAUGGGCGAAAGCCUGAUCCAGCAAUGCCGCGUGAGUGAUGAAGGCCUUAGGGUUGUAAAGCUCUUUUACCCGGGAUGAUAAUGACAGUACCGGGAGAAUAAGCCCCGGCUAACUCCGUGCCAGCCGCCGCUGUAA